ensembl:lncRNA
GAGGAACCUAAAGCCAGAGGAGCAGCGGAAGUGAAACUUGAGAUUGUCUCUCCUUCCAUAUUCUCAGGUUGAACAGUUACGUCCCCAGCCGGCCAAGGGUGAGAGUUGGAUACUGUGCACGCGAUCUUAGAUUCCACCGAUGCACAUGGAAAAUAUUCAGAACAAAAGCUAAGUUUGUGAUGACCGUACUUCUCCCCUGUUGUUAUUUCCUAGAUGAUGUACCAGAACAAGAAUUACGUGACAUUUAUCUGUGUUAUUUGUUAUAAACCACCUCGAGGGGGUUAAAAGUAUUUUGGAGAAUGUGCAUCGCUUAUAGGCAAAUGACGCAUUGCUCACGGCAGAGACUGGACCACCUUAUGUCUUGCUGACUGUGGGGGUUCAAGGACUAUCACUUAAAAGAUCUUCCUAAUGCCACCCUUUAACAGAGUUCCUCAUGUUGUGGUGACCCUGCCAUAUAAUUGUGUUCAUUGCUACUUCAUAACUUUUUAGUAUAAUCUUGCUGCUGUAAUGAAUUAUAAUAUAAAUAUCUGAUAUUCAACCCCCAAGGGGGUCCUGACCCACAGGUGGAGAACUUCUGCCCUGAAGAUGCCAAGGGACAAAGCAUAUGGGAACUGAGGGUUGGUUGUAGUUAGAGUAACUCUAAUGCAGAAAUUAGUCUUUAUUUAUUUACUUACUUACUUAAAACUAGGUAGCCUCUGCUGUCUCAACACACAUGGCUUUCAACCUCCAUUAAAUCCUCCCACCACAGGCUUCCUGAUGAUGAGGUUACAGGCACAUGCAGAAAUCAGUCCUCAGCGCCAACAGUGUUCCUCAGACCGUGACAGGCUGAUACACCGACGACCCACCAGAACCAGAAUUUUAUGUUGAAAACGCCUGCAGCCGCCUCAACCCUACAGCACAUGCUGGGGUGUUUCCUCUUGUGAGCGCCUUCUUCCUGGGAGCUGCAUCCCACGGCCACGGCUCAAGCAGAUGGGGGAGGCGGAAUCAACUUCACUUUGCUCUGCAUGGUGGUAUCACUGAAACUUUGGCCUCGCUGCUUUGGGACCUGUGGGAGGGCAGCACAUGUGGCGGGGCACGUGUGGGGAAACGGACUUGUUCACUUCAUGGUCCCCAGCAAAUGAGAAGAGGGGCAGGAAGGAGCAGGUCCUCAUAUCCUUCAAGAGCAGACCCCAGUGACCUCACUUCCUCCCAUGAGGCUCCACUCCUUAGAGUUCCAUCACCUCCCAACACCACCACAGUGUGGGGACCAAGUUUCAACAUGUGAGCCGUGUGUGUGUGUGUGUGUGUGUGUGUGUGUGUGUGUGUGUGAAGGAGAGAGAGACUAUGAAAAUUCCAAGUCCCGUUUUCUAUACAGUUCUUCCACUAGCUGAGGAGUCAUGGGAGCCUGUGUGGUUUGGUUAUAUCAUGGGAAUUGGCAGUAUAUUUUUGUAAUUCAAGCAUAGGACUAUCUAUCACCAUGGGGCACUCACCUACCCCACUCUCCCCUCAUCCUAGAUGAACCCUGGGAACCACUAACUGUCUUCAAGCUCUGUAAUUUUGUCUUUCUGAAAAUGAUGGAUAGGUAGAAAUUAAUUUUUUUCCAAAUCACCAGUCAUUUGAAGCACAGUCCCCAUUGUUCUUACAGUUAAGAAGAGGACAGACUUUCAUUUUUCGGUCCGUGGGACUCAGCUCCUUACAAGGUCUUUGGGACCCACGGGUCUUAAUUGGGGUUAGGAGUUCUGCCCUCUGUCUCUGUGAGGUCAUUCCUGGCCACCUUCCUGUACGUGGCAGAAACCCUGUAAUGAAGAACUUUCACAGACAGCUUGGGGAAGCACGGAG